rnacentral:rRNA from 1 species
AACGAACGCUGGCGGCAUGCCUAACACAUGCAAGUCGAACGAGACCUUCGGGUCUAUUGGCGCACGGGUGCGUAACGCGUGGGAACCUGCCCUUAGGUUCGGCAUAACUCCCCGAAAGGGGUGCUAAUACCGGAUAAUUUCUUCGGACCAAAGAUUUAUCGCCUUUGGAUGGUCCCGCGUUGGAUUAGCUAGUUGGUAGGGUAAAAGCCUACCAAGGCGACGAUCCAUAGCUGGUCUGAGAGGAUGAUCAGCCACACUGGGACUGAGACACGGCCCAGACUCCUACGGGAGGAAGCAGUGGGGAAUAUUGGACAAUGGGCGAAAGCCUGAUCCAGCAAUGCCGCGUGAGUGAUGAAGGCCUUAGGGUUGUAAAGCUCUUUUACCCGGGAUGAUAAUGACAGUACCGGGAGAAUAAGCCCCGGCUAACUCCGUG